GGAUAGCUCAGUCAAUAGAGCACGAGACUCUUAAUCUCAGGGAUGUGGGUUCAAACCCCACGUUGAGCA